UUGCUAUGAAAGAGACACACUUCCUGGGA
rnacentral:piRNA from 2 species